UAAAAUCUUUGUGUUUUCUGACCCAGUGAAAACAAAUGAUGUGAAGCAAGCCAAAACACAGCAGUAUCUCUAAUAAACUUGCUGCAUUCCGCAGAAUGAGGAGAUGAAUGAAAUAAUAUGCCAGAUGUUAACUGGGAAUAUCACACAGCUGACACAAGCAGGUCCAGGAGGUUCUUAAAGCACCUUGAUGAUAACUUCUUGGUGCAGGUUCUAAAGGAGCCAACUAGGGAAGGUGCCCUCCUAGAUCUGUCUCUUGAGAACAGAGAGGGGGUCGUGGCAAUUGGUGGCCAUCUUGGUCAUUGUAACCAUGAAGCGGAUGAGUUUAGAAUUUUUGGAGACCAAAGGAAAACUGGCACCAAAACUUCAACCCUGGAUAUGGGGAGAGCAGACUUCAGGCUGCUCAGGAAACUAGUUAGUAAGGUCCCUUGGGAAACUGCGUUUGAAGGCAUUGGCGUCCAUCAGUGCUGGUCAGUCUUUAAGCAGUGCCUCCUAAAAGCACAGGAUCAGGCAAUUCCAAAAUAUCAGAAGUCAAGCAGGCGGGGCAGAAGGCCAGUUUGUCUGACCAGGGAUCUUCUUCUGGAGCUUAGGCGCAAAAAGCAAGUGUAUGGCUGUUGGAAGCAGGGUCAGGCAACAUGGAAGGACUACAGGGACAUUGUUCGCCUUUGUAGGGAGAAAAUUUGUGUGGCCAAAGCCCAAUUAGAGUUGAAGCUGGCCAGGUCUGUGGGAGACAGCAAAAAGGGCUUUUUUUAAAUAUGUGAACAAAAAAAGGAAGAACAGAGAAAACAUAGGUCCACUACUUGAUGGGGAUGGUCACCUUACAAAUAAGGACAUAGGCAAAGCAGAGACGUUUAAUGCCUUCUUUGCUUCUGUCUUCAACGCCGAUGAUGGUCUUCGGCACCCAGGGUGUCCUGAGCUGGAGGACUGUGAUGGUGGGAAUGACAAACUCCCAGCCAACCCUGAACAUGUGCGGGAUUUGCUGCUCCACCUGGAUCCAUACAAGUCCAUGGGUCCAGAUGAGAUUCAUCGCAGGGUGCUCAAAGAGAUGGCUGACAUCAUCGUGGGACCUCUCUCAAUUAUUUUUCAACAGUCUUGGGAAUCUGGAGCGGUCCCAGUUGACUGGAAGCUGGCAAAUGUUGUGCCAAUUUUCAAGAAGGGUAAGAAAGAAGACCCUGGUAACUACAGGCCUGUCAGUCUCACGUCAGUGCCUGGUAAAAUUACGGAGGUGAUUAUCCUGGGUGUUACUGAAAUGCACCUGGGGAACAGUGCAGUCAUAGGUCACAGCCAACAUGGGUUCAUGAGGGAUUGAAGAGCUGUUUUUCACAUCCCUUGCCUGAUACAAUCAAAUGGUAGAGCAAUAUCAUCACUUCUUCAGGGUCUUUAUGUGCAAGACUGAAAGCUUUUCUCGAGCAGAGCAUGUUGUGGAGGUGAAUGGAGGAGCACAAGACAAAUUGCAUGUUCUUCUGUUUGACAGUUCAGACCUAACAGGUCAGGUCUGUAGAUGCAAGUACCAAAGCAUAGCUUAGAGUAGCCCUAAAGCUUCUUUAAGUUGUGCUUGGAAAACAGUUGUUGGACUUGAUAUGUAUUUUAAAAGCAUGUUAAGUUAAUGCCAUCUUUUCUGUAAUUAUGGUAUGCAUGGUAUUGUCACAACCAAUGAUUUGACUUCUUAAGUAUUGUUUCUACUUUAAUAAAAUUCCAAAAUAUAA